rnacentral:lncRNA from 1 species
CUCUGGAAUCUUCUCUCACCUCCUAGACACACACACACAGAGGCACCUCCGGCAGCUCCUGGGCCAAGCCUCAUCUUGCCCAGUGUGGCCUGUCAAGAUGACGGCCUGGAAGAGAAGCCAGACUGGGCAGCCAGGCCUCUGCCCCUCCCCUUGCCUGGUGGCACAGCCAGCACUGGCUCACUGGGAAAGCUCACAACUCCUCACAGCGAUCUGGUAUCUUGAGCGUCAGUUUCUGGCCGAAACUGGGGGCUCCUGACUGAACUCCCUCCCACCUAGAAAACCUUCUGUGCAGUCUGAUUGCUCCAACACCCACAGAGCAGGAUUCAGGUAUCCCGGAGACCUUGGGAGGUCCCCAUCCAGAGGUCUGCUGUCCUGCCAGGCUUGGGGCAGCAGGGACUGGGACCCCACUCAGACCUCUCUGGGGCAAAUGUUUUGGUUCUCACAACAGCCCUAGUGAAAUCAAUCCUAGAUACUCCCAUUUGGUCCCACCAAGGCCAUUUAAUUUCUCUGUAAAGGGUAAGAUGACACAAAAGAGCCAACUAUGGAAACGGUGAGGUGGGAGUCUGAACCGAUUUAGCUGUUCUCAGGGCGCACAGGGUGUUGACGGUGGUUUUCAUCUGCCACCUGCCUCCUUGAGACCCAGCUGGCCUGAGUGUGCACGAAAUGGGACCUUCUCCUUGGGUCCACCAGGCUGGGAGGCACCCCUAGGUACCCGGCUCCUCAUCACAGCGGCAGCCCUCUCGGUUCCACAUCUGGUUCUCCUGACGAAGCCGCUGGUUUUCGGUCCGGAGCCUCUGGACCUCGGCAGCCAGCUCCUCCACCUGGCGGCAGGACUGCUGGCCGGUGCACGCCUGCAGCUGCUGCAGCCUCCUAGUCUCCUCCUCCGCCUGCGACAGCCGCUUCUCCAGCUCCAGGUAGUCUCGCACCAGCUCCUGCUUGCUGCGGCCCUGCAGGCUCUCGGUGUGGAAGCGUUCGUAAGUCUCAGAGAAGUCCUUCCGCUGGAACUCACCGUGCGCUCGGCCCCGCCCAUCACUGUCCCCGGCCUCACUCUCCCCACUGGAACCUGGGUGGGAGAUCCCAUGGGGCACAUCCAAGUUGGGCUCCUCCGGGUCCCUGUCAUUCAUCAGGAACUGGGUGGUGUUGUAGGGGGCCACGGGCUGGCCUUUGGCGAACAUCUCUUCGCGGACCCGGGAGGCCCUCUGGCUCUGCCUCUCAUCCCGCUGUUGUUUCUCAGCCCAGCUCAGCUCCAGGUAGGGUCGCCAGUGCCUUUUGCGCUUCGAUGGCCGCCGACGGUGUUUCUUCCGGGCCAGCACAGCCUCCGCUGAGCAGCCCCCUGGGCUCUGGGUCCGGGGACUCCUACUGUUCCAGCCCAGGCCACCGACAGCCCCAGCAAGAUCUUCAUCCUCUGAGUGGCUCUCCAUCCGCGGUGUCAGGGGCAGGGAACCACCAGAGUCAUGACGCUCAGGGGGUGUUUGGGGGCUCCCCGGGGCACCAGAGGUCUAAAGAGAGGGAGGAGGAAGAAGGAUGGAUCAGACAGCCUGUCCUUGGAGGUGGAACCUUUCCCUCUCUACCUAGCCUGAAGCCUACCUUCCUACACUCAGCUAACUUGGUCACUCUUAGCCCCUCAACCUUUUGGAACCAUUUGUUUACAAAGAGACCUGUCUACUGUCUGUCCCCCAACCUUCCCCAAGUAAACUCAUGGUGAGAGCAGGAAUUUUGCCUGUGUGUUUCACUCUGUAAUUUCAAUGCCUAGAAUAAUACCUGGCACUGAGUAGGAGUUCCAUAAAUACUGUCCAAAUGAGUAAAGUAGGAGAAGAAGAAAACUGGGAUAGAAGGUGGAUCUUGAUGCAUUUGCUUGAUCAGAAGCCCAAAUGGCACCGGCUCUUCCCUCUUCCCAGAAAACCUGACUUUCAAACACCACUGGCUUCAUGGGCAGGUGACCUGUGAAGUCCCACAGAGGCCCCAC